rnacentral:sRNA from 1 species
AGUCUGAAAUUCCCCUUCUCCCAGUCCUGUGGGCCUUCUACUGUCCCUCGCUCCUGUUGGGUCACACACCCAGAACGCCCAGCCCUAGCUCUUCCCCUCAGUAAGCCCCGCCUCUCCCUGCCGUCUUUCUCUCUGGCAGCAAAGGUGUGUCCCUGCAGCGUGCCCCGACCUCGUAGGCCCACUUCUCUCCCCAUCCCAGGUUUUAUGCCGUGUGCUUUUACCUGCUGAUGCUGGUCAUGGUAGAAGGCUUUGGGGGGAAGGAGGCAGUGCUGAGGACACUGAGGGACACCCCGAUGAUGGUCCACACAGGCCCCUGCUGCUGCUGCUGCCCCUGCUGUCCGCAGCUGCUGCUCACCAGGAAGAAGCUUCAGCUGCUGAUGUUGGGCCCUUUCCAAUACGCCUUCUUGAAGAUAACGCUGACCCUGGUGGGCCUGUUUCUCAUCCCCGACGGCAUCUAUGACCCAGCAGACAUUUCUGAGGGGAGCACAGCUCUAUGGAUCAACACUUUCCUCGGCGUGUCCACACUGCUGGCUCUCUGGACCCUGGGCAUCGUUUCCCGUCAAGCCAGGCGACACCUGAGUGAGCAGAGCAUGGGAGCCAAAUUUGCUCUGUUCCAGGUUCUCCUCAUCCUGACUGCCCUACAGCCCUCCAUCUUCUCAGUCUUGGCCAACGGCGGGCAGAUUGCUUGUUCGCCUCCCUAUUCCUCUAAAACCAGGUCUCAAGUGAUGAAUUGCCACCUCCUCAUACUGGAGACUUUUCUAAUGACUGUGCUGACACGAAUGUACUACCGAAGGAAAGACCACAAGGUUGGCUAUGAAACUUUCUCUUCUCCAGACAUGGACUGGAACCUCAAAACCUAAGGUGGAUGGCUGGGACAAUGAAAGGAUGCUGUACUCAUUAGAAUACAAGAUUCCUUUACUGUCCCUCAACGUUGACCAAAUGGGAAGCAUUCCCCCUUGUCAACACAAGCUGGCAGAUACAUUUGACUUUACAGAUGAAGGUGAACAAUGUUAGGAUAAAAUUGCUUUGGAUCUUGCCUGGAAGGUGUUUUAAGUUUUGUAAUAAACAAGAUGACGUCUGAAAAUGUGUAA